CGCCUUCCAUGAAGCCGGAAUUGCUAGUAAUGGCAGGUCAGCAUACUGCCGUGAAUACGUUCCCGGGCCUUGUACACACCGCCCGUCACACCAUGAGAGUUGGGGAUACCCGAAGCCUGUGAGCUAACUUUUAGAGGCAGCAGUCGAAGGUAGAAUCAAUGAUUGGGGUGAAGUCGUAACAAGGUAGC
rnacentral:rRNA from 1 species